CGGUGAAGGACUAGGCUGAGAGCGAAACCUAAAUUUGCCAUCUAAAUCAUUGAACCACAGUGCCUGCAAUCAAUAUGGCCUUGAUCCAGAGCCCACUGAAAUCAAUGACAAGAAAGGUUUUGACCAGCUCCUGCUAUCCGCUGUACAUUGGUAAAUUGCACAUGUGAAUGUUUUCAGCCAGGGAAGAUUAACCUGAGAACCUGUGAUCAGUGUAAACAUGGCUGGGUGGCACAUGCCUUGGACAAGCUUAGUACUCAGCACCUCUAUCACCCAACUCAAGUGGAGAUUGUGCAGUCCAACGUUGUGUUUGACAUCAGCAGCCUGAUGCUCUAUGGUACUCAAGCUGUGCCUGUGAGACUGAAGAUACUACUUGAUCGACUCUUCAGUGUACUGAAGCAAGAGGAGGUGUUGCACAUUCUACAUGGCUUAGGCUGGACACUGCGAGACUAUGUUCGAGGCUACAUCCUUCAGG